CGAGGGGCAUCAGGAAGAAAGCUUGCUUUCUUUGCUGGCGACCGGCGCACGGGUGAGUAACACGUAUCCAACCUGCCCUUUACUCGGGGAUAGCCUUUCGAAAGAAAGAUUAAUACCCGAUGGGAUAAUCAUUCCGCAUGGUUUGAUUAUUAAAGGAUUCCGGUAAAGGAUGGGGAUGCGUUCCAUUAGGUUGUUGGUGAGGUAACGGCCCACCAAGCCUUCGAUGGAUAGGGGUUCUGAGAGGAAGGUCCCCCACAUUGGAACUGAGACACGGUCCAAACUCCUACGGGAGGCAGCAGUGAGGAAUAUUGGUCAAUGGGCGAUGGCCUGAACCAGCCAAGUAGCGUGAAGGAUGACUGCCCUAUGGGUUGUAAACUUCUUUUAUAUUAGAAUAAAGUGCAGUAUGUAUACUGUUUUGUAUGUAUAAUAUGAAUAAGGAUCGGCUAACUCCGUGCCAGCAGCCGCGGUAAUACGGAGGAUCCGAGCGUUAUCCGGAUUUAUUGGGUUUAAAGGGAGCGUAGGUGGACUGGUAAGUCAGUUGUGAAAGUUUGCGGCUCAACCGUAAAAUUGCAGUUGAUACUGUCAGUCUUGAGUACAGUAGAGGUGGGCGGAAUUCGUGGUGUAGCGGUGAAAUGCUUAGAUAUCACGAAGACUCCGAUUGCGAAGGCAGCUCACUG
rnacentral:rRNA from 1 species